GGGUCUAAUUUUUCUCUGCCUGUGUGAGAUUCACUCAGGGCCUGAUUCAAAGGCCUCUGCUCCAAGAUCAAGAAAAUCUUCCCAACAAUCUUCAGUGGCAUUUGGCAAUAGGAGCUUUCAAGGGCCACAAUCUCAUCUCAGUGGGAGUCCGGACCCUAUUUGUCAGUGGCCUUCCUCUGGAUAUCAAACCUCGGGAGCUCUAUCUGCUUUUCAGACCAUUUAAGGGCUAUGAGGGUUCUCUUAUAAAGCUCACAUCUAAACAGCCUGUAGGUUUUGUCAGUUUUGACAGUCGCUCAGAAGCAGAAGCUGCAAAGAAUGCUUUGAAUGGCAUCCGCUUCGAUCCUGAAAUUCCGCAAACA
rnacentral:sRNA from 1 species